rnacentral:antisense_RNA from 1 species
UUUUUUUCUUUUUCUUUUUCUUUUUUCAUUUCCCAGAUACAGCUGAUCGAGUUCGCCAAGUGGCCGAGCGAGUGAGCGCUCCUCCGACUUGGGUGGAGGAAGAUGGCAAGCAUUUCCUAAAGAAACGGCCAGUCAGACCAAUGAAACCACAGGACAAAAAGUUCUCUUCAAAAGAGAACAACAAGAAGGAAAAAAAAAAUAAGAAGACAACAUUCCUAGUGAUCUUUCCGUGGGAAUGCGGCAAAGAGGCAGCAGGCAUAGUGAAAAUGGGCGGCGAUGGAUACUCCCAGCACUUGCUGAGCACUGCUACACCUCAGGACUGGGACAGAGAGAACCAUUCUCUGCUUUCAAUAGGACAGAAGAGCUCCUUGGCACUGGAUGCCUCCGGGUCUGGUUGAGAGAGGAAUGGUUAGGAGAUUGUUCUGAGGAUAUGCAGACAUCAUCCAAAGCUUCCUACAUUCAGAUGAGGACAGAGGUUGGGCUAGAGCUUUGUAUGCUUGUUACCUAAGUAUGGUUCUGACCAUGUAAGCAGAUCACAGAAGCACUGUUCACAAUAGCAAAGUCUUGGAACCAAUCCAAAUGCCCAUCAAUGAAAACCUGGAUAAAGAAAAUGUGGCACAUACACAGCAUGGAAUACUAUGCAUCCAUAAAAAAGGAUGAGUUCAUGUCCCUUGCAGGGACAUGGAUGAAGCUGGAAAACAUCAUUCUCAGCAAACUAACCUGGAGGCAAAUAAUGCCAAGAUGGGAAAGCCACAUAAUGGAAGGAUCCCAGAUUUCAGAGCUGUCACUUGGAGGAGGGGCACACAGUGAAGGUGUCUAUCUAACCCACACCAUAUCUUCAUGAAGUGGCCAUAUGGAUUUGAUCCCUAUCCUUCAGAGGUGCUCAGCCUAAGGGAACAUGGGUAGAAGAUUAAGCACUGACCAGAGCCAGCCUUGACAAUGUGCUGAUGGCAACCU